rnacentral:rRNA from 1 species
UCCGUAGGUGAACCUGCGGAAGGAUCAUAGUAAUCGUCUUUGACGUUACGUUUCCGUUCGUCCUCGGGACGUUAAGGCGCUCUGGUCGAGGAUAAACGACCCCUCUGACCGAGGUAAAGCCGUCUCCCUGUGUUACCUCUUUCCCGAGGCACACGUUAAAGAUCGUUCCGCAUUGUGAGUCCACACCAGUUGUAACACUUUUACAACCGGUAGCGCUGGAUCCCUUGGCACGUCAUUCGAUGAAGACCGUUGCAAAUUGCGAUAAAGUGAUGUGAUGCGCAAGUCCACCACUUAUACGUGAAUCAUCGAGUUGUUGAACGCACCGCACCGCGCCCUAAUCCGGCUGCGGUAUGCCCCUUUGAGCGUCAUUGUAUCCCUUCGGGAGUCUUUUCAUCGAGACCCGAGUUCGGAGUCCUCGGUCUUUGGAUCGUGUUCUCUCAGAUGCGUCGCGCCGAUCGCCUGAUGGGUCGCUCUAAUGCCUAAGCGUGGAGUCCCUCGGAGCCCGAAACGCGCUUGACCGGGUGUUGAGCCCGYGUCGCCAAGUCCGCACGUCUUACGUGGCGGUACUACAACGCAUGACCUCAUUGGGGUAGGACAACCCGCUAGACUUAAGCAUAUUAAUCAGCGGAGGAAAAGAAACUAACCAGGAUUCCCUCAGUAACUGCGAGUGAAGCGGGACCGGCUCAAUGUGUGAAUCUGGCUUGGGGUAGAUCCCUGGUCCGAGUUGUGCACUAUGGACGUUUCGUCUGCGUUUGUAAUGGCGGUGGAAGUCCGUUGAAACACGGCACCUCAGAGGGUCACAGUCCUGUACCACCUGCCUGCACUCGCGCCAAUGACAAGCGCUCCUCGAGUCGCGUAGUUUUGUAAUGCUGCGCCAAGUGGGAGGUAGAGACCUUCUAAGGCUAAAUAUGAUGACGUGACCGAUAGCACACAAGUACCGCGAGGGAAAGGUGAAAAGCAACCAUGAAAAAUGGGUUGAAACAGCAGUGAAAGCGCUACCGGGAUAAGGGCUAUCGGGUGCUGGGGCUUCUUGGGUGUGCUUCAGUGCUACCCUUGGAGACGGCCCGCGUGGGUUGAUGUUGGGGYGAUAGACGCGUCGUUGGAAUUCAGCUGUCUUUGGGCAGUGUUGUAGCCUUCGGUUGCCGAUCCUCCUGCGACCUUUUGUAAUUGCGGGUCUUGCGACCGUUAGCCGCCCGUCUUGAAACACGGACCAAGGAGUGCACCUUGCAUGCGAGUCGAAGGGAUUUGAAACCUGGAGGCGUAGCGAACGCGACGAUGGGGAAUGUCCUUGUGGCAGACACCCGCACCCGCCUUGUGCGAGGUAGAGCAUGUACGGUGCGACCCGAAAGAUGGUGAACUAUGCCCGGGUAAGGUGAAGCCAGUGGAAACGCUGGUGGAGGCCUGUAGCGAUUCUGACGUGCAAAUCGAUCGCGUAACCUGGGUAUAGGGGCGAAAGACCUAUCGAACCGUCUAAUGGCUGGUUCCCUCCGAAGUUUCCCUCAGGAUAGCUGCGUUCCUAUUGAGAGUCAGUUGCAUUGCGGUAGAGCGAAUGAUUAGGCGUCUCGGGGCCAUCAUGGCCUCGGCUCAUUCUCAAACUCCGAAUUGCGUGCGAUCCCGUUGCUGUGACCUUGUGGCACGCCGGGAAAAUGACAGGACGCAAGUGGGCUGGUUUUGGUAAGCAGAACUGGCG